rnacentral:rRNA from 1 species
CGGGUGACUGCGGGGCGGAAGCCGCGGGAAUACGAAGGGGGCUAGCGUUGUUCGGAAUUACUGGGCGUAAAGCGCGCGCAGGCGGUUCUCCAAGUCAGUGGUGAAAGCCCGGAGCUCAACUCCGGAAUUGCCAUUGAAACUGUUGAACUUGAGGAUGAGAGAGGUGAGUGGAAUUCCCAGUGUAGAGGUGAAAUUCGUAGAUAUUGGGAAGAACACCGGUGGCGAAGGCGGCUCACUGGCUCAUUACUGACGCUCAGGCGCGAUAGCGUGGGGAUCAAACAGGAUUAGAUACCCGGGUAGC